CAGAGGUCUCAAGCGUUGUUCGGAUUCAUUGGGCGUAAAGGGUGUGUAGGUGGCGCGCUAAGUCGGGUGUGAAAUUUCGGAGCUUAACUCCGAAACUGCAUUCGAUACUGGCGUGCUUGAGGACUGGAGAGGAGACUGGAAUUUACGGUGUAGCAGUGAAAUGCGUAGAUAUCGUAAGGAAGACCAGUGGCGAAGGCGGGUCUCUGGACAGUUCCUGACACUGAGACACGAAGGCCAGGGGAGCAAACGGGAUUAGAUACCCCGGUAGUCCUGGCAGUAAACGGUGCACGUUUGGUGUGGGAGGAUUCGACCCCUUCUGCGCCGGAGCUAACGCGUUAAACGUGCCGCCUGGGGAGUACGGUCGCAAGAUUAA
rnacentral:rRNA from 1 species